rnacentral:rRNA from 1 species
ACACGACUACAUUAGAUACCCGCGUAGUCCAGCCCUAAACGAUGCGCGUUAGGUGUAUCGGUGACCACGAGUCACCGAGGUGCCGAAAGGGAAACCGUGAAACGUGCCGCCUGGGAAGUACGGUCGCAAGGCUGAAACUUAAAGGAAUUGGCGGGGAGCACCACAACGGGUGGAGCCUGCGGUUUAAUUGGACUCAACGCCGGGAAGCUCACCGGAUAAGACAGCGGAAUGAUUGCCGGGCUGAAGACCCUGCAUGACCAGCUG